rnacentral:rRNA from 1 species
UACGUAGGUGGCAAGCGUUGUCCGGAAUUAUUGGGCGUAAAGCGCGCGCAGGCGGUCCUUUAAGUCUGAUGUGAAAGCCCACGGCUCAACCGUGGAGGGUCAUUGGAAACUGGGGGACUUGAGUGCAGAAGAGGAAAUCGGAAUUCCACGUGUAGCGGUGAAAUGCGUAGAGAUGUGGAGGAACACCAGUGGCGAAGGCGGCUCUCUGGUCUGUAACUGACGCUGAGGCGCGAAAGCGUGGGGAGCAAACAGG